CCCAGUGUUCAGCUGCACACACGGACACCUACCUGCAAAAGACUAUAUACUCAGCCUCCUUUUCAGUUAAGUAUGGUCAAAUGACAAGAUCUUGCCAACGGGAUGUGAACGGAGUGAGGUCCUGCAGGUCAGGAAUUCAGGAUCCACAUCCAAGGAGGCUCACUCACUUGGCUGGCAAAUUGGUGAUGGCUGUAGGCUAGGGACCUUGGUCUCUCUCCACAGACGGCUUGAGUGUCCUCAUGGCAUGGUGGCUGCUGUCCCCAGAGUAAAUGACUCAAGAGAACAAGGCAGGAGCUCAAUGCCUUUAUGAGCUACAUUCAGAAGUCACAUACCGUCACUUCUGUCAUAUUCUUUUGGUCACAUGAGUCAAAUCUGAUUCAAUGGGGGAGGGUUCUACACACGCAGAUGAAUACUAGGAGGCAAGGAUCAUUGCUGGCAAUCUUGGAAGCUGGCGACCACACUGUGGAAUGCCAGAGCAGCCCUACCUCCAAAGGCCUUGAAUGAGAGAGAAAUGCAUUUUACUUGUCUCACUGAAGUUAAGGUUGUGAAUAUACACCUAUGAAUUCUUGACACAAAGUAA
rnacentral:lncRNA from 10 species